rnacentral:lncRNA from 1 species
GCAUGAGCUAUAUAAAUAAAUCAAAAAGUAAUAAAAUAAAAUUUUAUUUGAUACAUGCAAAAAGUGGAAAACAUGGAUAAAAUUUUCAAGUUUGUUAAUGUUAUGAUAAUCAUUCUUUCCCUAUUUCUUGCUUCAACACAAAUUUCACACGGUAAACCCUUAAUAUCUCCUUUUUAAAUUUCCUUCUUUAAUUCUAACACAAUAUUUUAUUCCAUUUUAUAACAAUAUUGUUUUUUCUCUUUUUACAUUACAGCUAACAUUCCAUGUAAAACUGAUCGUGAUUGUCCAGUACUUUCCUUCUACAAGUUUAUAUCAAAACCUAUAAGAAUGAGAUGUAGUAAAGGUUUUUGCCAGUGACAAUCAUAAAGCUCAAAAGAUUAUAGGAUUAUUAGACCCCAAAAGAAUACACAAAUUCAAUACUCCAUGAGUUCUUGUUUAGUUAUUGUGAUCAUCCAUUAAAUGAUUUUUUUUUAUAUAAUUUUUUUAAUUUCAAGUACCUUGUAAGAUGAUGCAAGUGAAAUUAAAUAAAGCAUAAAAAAUAUUAUCUA